UUUUUUUUUUUUUUUUUUUGCCCUUCUCUAGAAGAGGUAACUAAGGCAUAGAAGAGACUUGAAGUGAUUUGCAUUUACUGCACAAAGAACAUUUAUUACCUUGUCUAAAUUUUGUGAAUAUUGUUGGUGAGGUGGGUAUUUCUUUCUUCCCACUCCAAGCUUAUCUCCUUUUUCCUAUGAAGUUUUUCAGCUCAAGGGAGUAGGAACUAGUUAUCUGAUUGGUAUAUUCAAUAAGCUGAAUUUUACUAGUAGGCCGGGUCACUCGGGGUAAAAAUUAGCCCUCAUGUAUGACACUCUUCUUUUUGGCCACCAAAACAUUCUAUUCAAAGUUCCUACAAACUUCAUUGGACCAUUCUUUCACUCCCUUAAUGUGUCCUCAGUAUCCUUCCUACUCAGCUUAGUCAUUAUAAUCUCUCCCUUGCUUACAUCCAUCACCUACAUCUUGUUUCAUCUACCCUGGUUAAAUCUACCUCUCUGCCUACCCAGCACCAGCCCUUGAAGGUGGUUAGAGAAAAGCACAGCCACACUGACUAACCUCCUUCUCACAUAUGCUGCCAUUCCAUUCAUUCAUACUAUAAGGUCCCUUGACAGCCAUUUCUCAUCCUCCUCCAAUACACCCCACAUUUUCAUUCUCAGCUACUGACCUUGUUUCCUACUUCACUGAAAAAUUGAGUCAAUCAGAAGAGAAUUUCAGCGAAUCCCACCACCACACCGACUCACCAGCAUCUGCACCCACACACUCUGCCUUCCAACUGGCAUCACAGGACUUUCCAUGUGCUCCUAACCAACCAUCCCUUAAGCACCAGAUCCCAGGACCCCUCACCUAUGCAAGGACGAUCUGCCACCUCCCUCCUAAAUCAUCAGCCUUUUCCUUUUUGCUGGCUUAUUCCCAUGGGCAUGUAAACCUCCUGAACUCAUUUCACCCCCAUCCUGCAAGUCACCACACGAUUGUUUUACUCCUCUUUGCAGCAGAAUUCCUCAGAGAUUUCUAUCACCAAUUCCUCUCCUCACAUUCUCUCUUUAAAACCACUACACUCAGCCUUUUGCCCCUAUGAUUCCUCUUAAAUUGCUCUUGUUAAGAAUAUCAGUGACCUCCACAUUAUCUAAUCCAAUGCUCGUAUUCCCAGUCCUCCUCUUAGUAAAUCAAGCAACAUCAUCAGACAGUGGAUGACUCCUCCCUAAGAUUCUUUCUUCACUUGCUCCCCAUACACCACACCCUCUUGAUUCUCAUCGUAUUUUCUUGGUUACUUUCUCUCAGUCUCUUUUGAAGAUUCCUUUUUCUUAAUCUUGAAGGAGAAGUCCUUGAUUCUGGUCUCUAUCUUUACUUCCUUCCUUGGUGAUCUCAUUAUGACCUUAAAUCUUUACGCAAUCACAUCUAUUUCGAGCCACCUUUCCUGAAUUCUAGAUAGGUGUACCUGUGGCUUGACUGACAUCUCUACUUGGAUGUCUAGUAGAUGUCUGGAAAGCAACAUUUCCACAAAUAAGCUCCUGAUCUUUCCCCUAUCCAUACUCCUUCAACUCAAUUGAUGGCAACUUCAUUUUUUUAUUUCCUAGGCCAAACUUUGAAGUCAUCCUUGAUUUCCCUCUUUCUCUUAAAUCCAACUACUUUCAUACCACCUCCCCUGCUAUCACCCUGUCCUAAGCUGCCAUCACCUCUGUGUAGAUUGCUGCAGUGGCAUCCUAACUGGUUUCCCUCCUUCUGCCCUUGUCCCUGAAGUCAAUUCUGAGCAGAGUAGCAACAGUGACUGUGUUAGGUCCCUCUAGAGGGACAGAACUGAUUGAGUAUAUAUAUGUGAGUUUAUUAAGUAUUAACUCACACAAUCACAAG
ensembl:lncRNA